GAUGACAAAACAGAUGAACACAGAAAACCAUUCCUGACCUGCAUUUGGCUGAGACCUUCCCCAAUUCUUUAGAAAAAAGGAAAUGGAAGGUUGUGUAGAAACUACCCUGACUACUGUUCUUUUGGAUUCAUUCAGAUACAUAUGCAUUGAACAAAAUAUCUUUCAGGUUGUAGCUGGGCUGUUAAUACUGGAACUUCAGUUACAGCCUCAAGUUUGAACCCUGCUGAAACCGCGUCCUGGAGCCUACAAAAGGCUAAGAACUCCAGUACAAUGUUAAAUAGAAGUGAUGAGAAUGAGCAUCUUUACCUGGUCUCCAUCUUUGGAGAAAAGCCUUUGAUAUCAGCCUGUGAUAGCUUCA